UGUAAGCAAUGGUCAUCGGCAACCCUGUUACUGAUCGUUGAAACCUUUCCGGUGCAACUCACCUACCAUUCCCAUCCCGAGGUCCCAUUAGUUUUCCUUAAUCCAUCACAAUGCUUUUUACUUUUCUUUUUUAGAAUAUAGAGACAGCAGAGUCGUCAACAAUGACGCCAUUAGCAGUAGUAGUAGUUCCAAAGCUUUUGAUGUUUGCAUGGCACGAAACAGAGUAUCAAUGUAGGUCUAUGGUUUUUGAAGACAAUGCCGAGGUUGUUAUUGAAUUUACUAUAGUUUUUACAUAGCAAUAUGGCUUACAAAAUAUCUCCUGACUUUUCAUGGUUAUCUGCAUAAUUUUCCUAUUUGUCGGUAGUAUAUCAGUCGAAUAACUUGUUAAGAAAUAAUGAUUUAAAAUGGAAGCGUGAGGGUUACUGAAUUUCUAACAAUAUCGGCCUUUCGCUACAAUAACAGUGCGAGUCCAGGAAGUACGGAAAAGCAAAAGGUCUGGGAAGGAAGGCGGUUCACGUUGUCAGUGGCUAUGAGCCAUUCUCAGGUGUCAAACGCCAGUGAGGUGCUCUCAUAUUAACCCAGUUGGAUUACUUUAUAGGCGUUGUCUUCAAGAACGCAUUUGCGAGAUGACCUGCGCUGAAAGGGGUUAGGAUUAAUCCCUGAAAGCUAUCUCGUGUUGCUUUCCUCAUGUAAUCAAUGUCAGCGCCAGUCAGCCUCCUGAGAGGGAGAGAGAAGAGCAGCCUCAUAGAGAGAGAGAGAGAGAGAGAAUAUUGCUUGCCGAAGGUAUUAUACCCUCAAGACCAGAUGGUCUCCGUGCCACCGAUAAUGCACAGUCACCAGUAGACGCCGACUAGUCUUGUACAAUGGCAAGGUUCGGAAAACUGAUUAACAGCGUCCUGGAUUAUAUUUGCGUUUUUAUUUGUCAGAGCUAAUGCACUUUGUGUGUGGCGUUUGCAUGCUUGCUUGGUGUUCGUUGUUUUAUUUUUUCUGGUAUUACCUGAGCGCUGGUUAAGUGCUUGAUAUCCUUUGAUUUUGUAUUGUUUGUUUCUAUGUUUAUCUUUUGCCUCGUUUAUAAAUUUAGUUCAUUAUAUGUUUGCUCUUGUAUGUAAUGCGUUGGUGUAUUAAUAUUCUUGGUGGCUCAGUUAUGUGAUUGAAUACAUUCUCUUAUUUAUUCUCGAGUUAACCUCAUCAGAAACUGUCAUUUACGUGAUUCAACUUUGCAGAUUCUCUGAUUUUUUUUUUGUUAGUAAGAAACACACGCUAACGUUCUGUUACCAAUAGAAUGAUCCAUGUAUAUUUGAUUUGAUCCUGUCCUGUGCUGAAUCCUGCCCCGUAGAGCACCAAUUUUUUUUUUACCAGAAUCUGAUAUCGUGACUGUUUCGUAUAUUAGUAGUGGUUGU